rnacentral:rRNA from 1 species
UUCCGGUUGAUCCUGCCGGACCCUACUGCUAUCGGGGUGGGACUAAGACAUGCUAGUCGUGCGUCUCUAAGCCAUGGUAGAGACGCGGCGUACGGCUCAGUAACACGUGGUUAACCUACCCUUAGGACGGGGACAACCCCGGGAAACUGGGGCUAAUUUCUGAUAGGUGAGGAGGCCUGGAAUGGUUCCUCGCCGAAAAGGCGUUGAAACCAUGCUUUUCAACGUCGCCUAAGGAUGGGGCCGCGCCCGAUCAGGUUGUUGGUGAGGUAACGGCUCACCAAGCCUAUAACCGGUACGGGCCGUGAGAGCGGGAGCCCGGAGAUGGGCACUGAGACAAGGGCCCAGGCCCUACGGGGCGCAGCAGUCGCGAAAACUCCGCAAUGCGCGAAAGCGUGACGGGGCUACCCCGAGUGCCGUCCGCUGAGGAUGGCUUUUCCCCGGUGUAAUGAGUCGGGGGAAUAAGGAGAGGGCAAGCCUGGUGUCAGCCGCCGCGGUAAAACCAGCUCUCCGAGUGGUAGGGACGAUUAUUGGGCUUAAAGCGUCCGUAGCCGGCUUGGCAAGUCUCCCGUUAAAUCCAGCGACCUAAUCGUUGGACUGCGGGAGAUACUGUUGGGCUAGGAGGCGGGAGAGGCCGACGGUAUUCUCGGGGUAGGGGUGAAAUCCUAUAAUCCCGGGAGGACCACCAGUGGCGAAGGCUGUCGGCUAGAACGCGCUCGACGGUGAGGGACGAAAGCUGGGGGAGCGAACCGGAUUAGAUACCCGGGUAGUCCCAGCUGUAAACGAUGCGGGCUAGGUGUUGGGGUGGCUACGAGCCACUUCAGUGCCGCAGGGAAGCCAUUAAGCCCGCCGCCUGGGGAGUACGGCCGCAAGGCUGAAACUUAAAGGAAUUGGCGGGGGG